AAAAACACACGCACACU
rnacentral:miRNA from 1 species